rnacentral:rRNA from 1 species
GAUGAACGCUGGCGGCGUGCUUAACACAUGCAAGUCGAACGAUGAAGCCCAGCUUGCUGGGUGGAUUAGUGGCGAACGGGUGAGUAACACGUGAGUAACCUGCCCUUAACUCUGGGAUAAGCCUGGGAAACUGGGUCUAAUACCGGAUAGGAGCGUCGACCGCAUGGUGGGUGUUGGAAAGAUUUAUCGGUUUUGGAUGGACUCGCGGCCUAUCAGCUUGUUGGUGAGGUAAUGGCUCACCAAGGCGACGACGGGUAGCCGGCCUGAGAGGGUGACCGGCCACACUGGGACAGAGACACGGCCCAGACUCCUACGGGAGGCAGCAGUGGGGAAAAUUUCACAAUGGGCGCAAGCCUGAUGCAGCGGCGCCGCGUGAGGGAUGACGGCCUUCGGGUUGUAAACCUCUUUCAGUAGGGAAGAAGCGAAAGUGACGGUACCUGCAGAAGAAGCACCGGCUAACUACGUG